rnacentral:ncRNA from 12 species
CAGCGCCUGUUCCAUGAUCGCCAAGGUGACCAUGGCCGUGCGUGAUUUUGAUCUGGUCGCGCCGCUGGGCAGCCCGGGAAAUGGGCGGCCCACCGACAUGCGCAGCACGGAUACCUCCGGUCAACUGUCACUGUUCGACCGGGCAGAGCAUGAACACGGGUCCGGCGCAGUUUCCUUGCCGAUCGACGCCACCAUGGGUCUUCGGCAAGGCGACGUGGAUAGCGCGAGCGGAUG